rnacentral:rRNA from 1 species
UACGAAGGGGGCUAGCGUUGCUCGGAAUCACUGGGCGUAAAGCGCACGUAGGUGGGUCGCUAAGUCGGGGGUGAAAUCCUGGAGCUCAACUCCAGAACUGCCUUCGAUACUGGCGAUCUUUGAGUCCUGGAGAGGAAGGUGGAAUGCUUGGUGUAGAGGUGAAAUUCGUAGAUAUCAAGCGGAACACCGGUGGCGAAGGCGGCCUUCUGGACAGUGACUGACGCUGAGACGCGAAAGCGUGGGGAGCAAACAGG